ACAAAAAGGUUUGUUUAUAAAUUGACUUAUACUCUUGGGUAGGAAUUGAAAAUGGUAAAUUAUAUAAAUCUUCAUCUGAUGAGUCUUCUCCGUAACCUAACGCAAAAACCCCCAUCACACUUCGCCGUCAAACAAGUUCAUCAAAGCCGCACCCCAAGCCUCCGCACACCAGACCCGCCACCUCUACUCAAGUUGAAACCACCAUCACCGCCACUGCUCAAAUCGUGUUCACAUUUAGCCACCCCACGCACCGUGUACCAUGGUGCCAGUGGUUGUGGGCUGCCGAAGCCGUUCUCCGCCAUGGCCGCCACCAUAAUUACUUACCGCCAUUGUUUUAGUUUUGCAGCCGCUGAGAAUUAUAGUCGUCGUCAUCUUUCCGGUUACCGGACCGUAACCACCUCGUUGUUUCGAUUUACAAGGUUUGCAUAACUUUGGGGGCGACUCAAAUUGUGGAUCUUUGCUUUGCUUGCUAACUAAGGUAAUAUGAGAUGAUCUGGGAUUUCAGUGAGGAGCGUUAGGAAGUUGCUGGUCAAGAUUCUUUAUUUCAGUAAUGUAAUAAAUGUAAUUAGGAUCUUUUAUUUAAUGUUAUAGAUUGGUUUUUAGUUU